CACUGGGCAACAGAAUAUCUACUUCCUUCUCUUAAUGACGACAAAUCUUAUAAGAGAUUUGUCUUAAGUUUCUUAUGUAUGCACCACUGCUGAUUGUUGGAGUGGUCAUCGAAGGGCUUUUAUUGAACUUACUGCACAUUGGCUGGAUCCGUUAACCCUCAAGAGAAGGUCAGCCGCUUUGGCACUGUGGAGGAUAAUUGGGAGGCAAACAUAUGAUGUUUUGGCCAACAAAAUCAUGGGUAUCCACAAGUUCUAUAAAAUUCAUAAUAAGGUGGUGAAGAUGGUGACUGACAAUGGAACCAACUUUGUCAAGGCAUUUAAAGUUUUUGGAGAAAAUGAAGAAGAUAGUAGUGAGGAUAUGGAAUUGAUAAAUUUGGAUGACAUAUUAUCCGUUGAUGACCCAAUUAUUCCUACUAUCAGCCUACCAAAACAUCAACGUUGUUGUUGCUAUUAUCUUAACCUUAUUGCAACAACAGAUGCGGAGAUGGCAGAUAGUGAUCUCAAUUAUAAACGAAUAUCUAGAUCCACUUUUGCAAAAUGUUUUGCUUUAGUUAAUAAACAAAAUAUGUCUUCAAAAAUUGCUUUCUGAAAAGUUGAAAAGUUUUCAGAAGUAGAACAAGUAUGUGAUCAAAUUGGAUUUGCAAUGUUUAGGCAAGAGGAAUGUUUUUUGUUAAAGAGUAUGCAACAGUUAUGGAACAUUUGGCGAUCUCGUUAAAAAUCUUGGAAUGGGAGGAUAAUAUGGAGCAGGGAUAUCUAACUCCCGUUCUAUCGAUAUUGAUAGAUAAAUUAACGAAAUUUAGCUGCCUGCGGUAUUGUCAGCCCCUUGUAGAUAGUGUUCUUAGAGGUAUUGAUAAAAGAAAGAUUAGUUGCCCAUUUGGGAAAUAUGCAGGAACAACCAUAUGCGGAUACCUUAAAUGAAUGUAUGGAUGACAUUGAUGCUUUUUUU